UGAUCCUGGCUCAGGACGAACGCUGGCGGCGUGCUUAACACAUGCAAGUCGAACGAUGAAGAGGAGCUUGCUCCUUGGAUUAGUGGCGAACGGGUGAGUAACACGUGAGCAAUCUGCCCUUGACUCUGGGAUAAGCGUUGGAAACGACGUCUAAUACCGGAUACGACCCUCGGAGGCAUCUCCUGGGGGUGGAAAGAAUUUUGGUCAAGGAUGAGCUCGCGGCCUAUCAGCUUGUUGGUGAGGUAAUGGCUCACCAAGGCGACGACGGGUAGCCGGCCUGAGAGGGUGACCGGCCACACUGGGACUGAGACACGGCCCAGACUCCUACGGGAGGCAGCAGUGGGGAAUAUUGCACAAUGGGCGAAAGCCUGAUGCAGCAACGCCGCGUGAGGGACGACGGCCUUCGGGUUGUAAACCUCUUUUAGUAGGGAAGAAGCGAAAGUGACGGUACCUGCAGAAAAAGCACCGGCUAACUACGUGCCAGCAGCCGCGGUAAUACGUAGGGUGCAAGCGUUGUCCGGAAUUAUUGGGCGUAAAGAGCUCGUAGGCGGUUUGUCGCGUCUGCUGUGAAAACCCGAGGCUCAACCUCGGGCCUGCAGUGGGUACGGGCAGACUAGAGUGCGGUAGGGGAGAUUGGAAUUCCUGGUGUAGCGGUGGAAUGCGCAGAUAUCAGGAGGAACACCGAUGGCGAAGGCAGAUCUCUGGGCCGUAACUGACGCUGAGGAGCGAAAGCAUGGGGAGCGAACAGGAUUAGAUACCCUGGUAGUCCAUGCCGUAAACGUUGGGAACUAGAUGUGGGGACCAUUCCACGGUCUCCGUGUCGCAGCUAACGCAUUAAGUUCCCCGCCUGGGGAGUACGGCCGCAAGGCUAAAACUCAAAGGAAUUGACGGGGGCCCGCACA
rnacentral:rRNA from 1 species